GGUUAAGCGACUAAGCGUACACGGUGGAUGCCCUGGCAGUCAGAGGCGAUGAAGGGCGUGCUAAUCUGCGAUAAGCGCCGGUAAGGUGAUAUGAACCGUUAUAACCGGCGAUACCCGAAUGGGGAAACCCAGUGUGACUCGUCACACUAUCAUUAACUGAAUCCAUAGGUUAAUGAGGCGAACCGGGGGAACUGAAACAUCUAAGUACCCCGAGGAAAAGAAAUCAACCGAGAUUCCCCCAGUAGCGGCGAGCGAACGGGGAGGAGCCCAGAGCCUGAAUCAGCAUGUGUGUUAGUGGAAGCGUCUGGAAAGGCGCGCGAUACAGGGUGACAGCCCCGUACACAAAAGCGCAUGUGCUGUGAGCUCGAUGAGUAGGGCGGGACACGUGGUAUCCUGUCUGAAUAUGGGGGGACCAUCCUCCAAGGCUAAAUACUCCUGACUGACCGAUAGUGAACCAGUACCGUGAGGGAAAGGCGAAAAGAACCCCGGCGAGGGGAGUGAAAAAGAACCUGAAACCGUGUACGUACAAGCAGUGGGAGCCCCACCACCAAAGCAUUCUCUGGUGUUGAAGGCCCUGCAAAGCAGCAUCGCGGUGGCGGAGCGUCGUUUGCGACGCCCAACACACAAAACAAGCGGUGAGUGCUUUGGGGUGGGGUGACUGCGUACCUUUUGUAUAAUGGGUCAGCGACUUAUAUUCUGUAGCAAGGUUAACCGAAUAGGGGAGCCGGAGGGAAACCGAGUCUUAAUUGGGCGUUAAGUUGCAGGGUAUAGACCCGAAACCCGGUGAUCUAGCCAUGGGCAGGUUGAAGGUUGGGUAACACUAACUGGAGGACCGAACCGACUAAUGUUGAAAAAUUAGCGGAUGACCUGUGGCUGGGGGUGAAAGGCCAAUCAAACCGGGAGAUAGCUGGUUCUCCCCGAAAGCUAUUUAGGUAGCGCCUCGUGAAUUCAUCUCCGGGGGUAGAGCACUGUUUCGGCUAGGGGGCCAUCCCGGCUUACCAACCCGAUGCAAACUGCGAAUACCGGAGAAUGUUAUCACGGGAGACACACGGCGGGUG
rnacentral:rRNA from 1 species